AUUGAACGCUGGCGGCAUGCCUUACACAUGCAAGUCGAACGGUAACAGGUUUUCGGAUGCUGACGAGUGGCGAACGGGUGAGUAAUACAUCGGAACGUGCCCGAUCGUGGGGGAUAACGAAGCGAAAGCUUUGCUAAUACCGCAUACGAUCUACGGAUGAAAGCAGGGGACCGCGAGGCCUUGCGCGAACGGAGCGGCCGAUGGCAGAUUAGGUAGUUGGUGGGAUAAAAGCUUACCAAGCCGACGAUCUGUAGCUGGUCUGAGAGGACGACCAGCCACACUGGGACUGAGACACGGCCCAGACUCCUACGGGAGGCAGCAGUGGGGAAUUUUGGACAAUGGGCGAAAGCCUGAUCCAGCCAUGCCGCGUGCAGGAUGAAGGCCUUCGGGUUGUAAACUGCUUUUGUACGGAACGAAAAGACUCUGGUUAAUACCUGGGGUCCAUGACGGUACCGUAAGAAUAAGCACCGGCUAACUACGUGCCAGCCGCCGCGGUAA
rnacentral:rRNA from 1 species